GAAAUGCGAUAAGUAAUGUGAAUUGCAGAAUUCAGUGAAUCAUCGAAUCUUUGAACGCAUCUUGCGCUCCUUGGUAUUCCGAGGAGCAUGCCAGGCAUUGUUUGAGUGUCAUUUAAACUCUCAAACCACAUCAUUCAUUUGACGUGGCUUUGGACGUGGGGGUUGCCGGCUUUCUUCUCAGAGAGGCCUGCUCCCCUGAAAAGCAUUAGUGGUAUCUGGAGUGGAAAACCGCUAGGUGUGAUAAUACUGUCUAUGCCUUUGGUUAUGCCACAAUGUGCUGCUUCCAACCGCACAUUUUUUGACAAACUUGACCUCAAAUCAGGUAGGACUACCCGCUGAACUUAA
rnacentral:misc_RNA from 1 species